rnacentral:tRNA from 1 species
GGAGAAGUGGUCUAGUGGUAGGGCACAGGCACCUCGAAUGUCCUGGUCGCACGUUCGAAUCGUGCCUUCUCCA